CCUGUGUCUAGAGGCAUUGCAGGUGUUGCUGAUCUUUCACAUGUGUGUCAGUAGGUGGCUGAGAAGAGAAAGGCGAUGACUGCUCAGUGUUCUGACCCAUGGAUAGUUGAACAAUUAGUAGCCUAUCAUU